rnacentral:rRNA from 1 species
AACGAACGCUGGCGGCAGGCUUAACACAUGCAAGUCGAACGCCCCGCAAGGGGAGUGGCAGACGGGUGAGUAACGCGUGGGAAUCUACCUAGCUCUUCGGAAUAGCUCCGGGAAACUGGAAUUAAUACCGAGUACGCCCUACGGGGGAAAGAUUUAUCGGAGUUAGAUGAGCCCGCGUUGGAUUAGCUAGUUGGUGGGGUAAUGGCCUACCAAGGCGACGAUCCAUAGCUGGUCUGAGAGGAUGAUCAGCCACACUGGGACUGAGACACGGCCCAGACUCCUACGGGAGGCAGCAGUGGGGAAUAUUGGACAAUGGGCGCAAGCCUGAUCCAGCCAUGCCGCGUGAGUGAUGAAGGCCCUAGGGUUGCAAAGCUCUUUCAGUAGGGAAGAUAAUGACGGUA